AUACGUAGGGGGCGAGCGUUGUCCGGAAUGAUUGGGCGUAAAGGGCGCGUAGGCGGCCCGGUAAGUCUGGAGUGAAAGUCCUGUUUUUAAGAUGGGAAUUGCUUUGGAUACUGUCGGGCUUGAGUGCAGGAGAGUUAAGUGGAAUUCCCAGUGUAGCGGUGAAAUGCGUAGAGAUUGGGAGGAACACCAGUGGCGAAGGCGACUUACUGGACUGUAACUGACGCUGAGGCGCGAAAGUGUGGGGAGCAAACAGGAUUAGAUACCCUGGUAGUCCACACUGUAAACGAUGAAUGCUAGGUGUAGGGGGUAUCGACCCCUUCUGUGCCGCAGUCAACACAAUAAGCAUUCCGCCUGGGGAGUACGGCCGCAAGGUUGAAACUCAAAUGAAUUGACGGGG
rnacentral:rRNA from 1 species